UGGUGACUUCAGGUGACUUGCAGGCAGGUGCGAAGCGCCCCGUGAGAUGCCCACUGCAUAGCGAGCGCUCGCGAUCCUUGCUCUUUGUAUCCGUGGCUUUUCCUUAACGGAGACGAGGUGGCAGAGGCCCAGAGAAGUGAACCAACUAUCCAAAGACACACAGCGGUGUAAGAGGCAGAGUCAGGACCAGAAGCAAAGGCGGCUCCAGAACCAUCAACGGCCUCCACUCCAGCCCCCACCAGCCCAGAGGGAUCUGUGAGCAGACCGGCUCCGCCCCGGAGAGGACCUUCAUCUCCCCUUCUUCUAGGCCCUGGCUGCCUUCAGGCUGCUUCACCCAGCUGUCUGUCUGUCUCCACAGCAACUUGAUCGGCCAUGGCCCACCUUCGGGGACCCCGGACCCCCGGGCACAGGCAGCAGCCUCCCCAGGCUGACAGCCAGGCUCGGUGUCCGUGUUUUCGUCUUAGCUAUCCCAGCGUCCAUGCUGCCUGCAACUCUUUCUGGUUUCAUAACCAGCGUGGCCACAGAGAAAAGAGAAAAGUAACUGUGGCUUGGACAGGAAAUGUCAACUGCCUGUGAUAGAGGCAUCAGGGAAAUUCUAAGUGCUCCUGGGUGCUGGAUGGGUGUGAGCACCAGUGAGGGGAAAUAAAACAAAGCAGGGGCAUGA